rnacentral:rRNA from 1 species
UGGGGAAUUUUGGACAAUGGGGGAAACCCUGAUCCAGCCAUCCCGCGUGUGCGAUGAAGGCCUUCGGGUUGUAAAGCACUUUUGGCAGGAAAGAAACGUCGCGGGUUAAUACCCCGCGAAACUGACGGUACCUGCAGAAUAAGCACCGGCUAACUACGUGCCAGCAGCCGCGGUAAUACGUAGGGUGCAAGCGUUAAUCGGAAUUACUGGGCGUAAAGCGUGCGCAGGCGGUUCGGAAAGAAAGAUGUGAAAUCCCAGAGCUUAACUUUGGAACUGCAUUUUUAACUACCGGGCUAGAGUGUGUCAGAGGGAGGUGGAAUUCCGCGUGUAGCAGUGAAAUGCGUAGAUAUGCGGAGGAACACCGAUGGCGAAGGCAGCCUCCUGGGAUAACACUGACGCUCAUGCACGAAAGCGUGGGGAGCAAACAGGAUUAGAUACCCUGGUAGUCCACGCCCUAAACGAUGUCAACUAGCUGUUGGGGCCUUCGGGCCUUGGUAGCGCAGCUAACGCGUGAAGUUGACCGCCUGGGGGAGUACGGUCGCAAGAUUAAAACUCAAAGGAA